rnacentral:rRNA from 1 species
UGGGGAAUAUUGCACAAUGGGCGCAAGCCUGAUGCAGCGACGCCGCGUGGGGGAUGACGGCCUUCGGGUUGUAAACUCCUUUCGCUAGGGACGAAGCUUUUUGUGACGGUACCUAGAUAAGAAGCACCGGCUAACUACGUGCCAGCAGCCGCGGUAAUACGUAGGGUGCGAGCGUUGUCCGGAAUUACUGGGCGUAAAGGGCUCGUAGGUGGUUUGUCGCGUCGUCUGUGAAAUUCCGGGGCUUAACACCGGGCGUGCAGGCGAUACGGGCAUAACUUGAGUACUGUAGGGGUAACUGGAAUUCCUGGUGUAGCGGUGAAAUGCGCAGAUAUCAGGAGGAACACCGAUGGCGAAGGCAGGUUACUGGGCAGUUACUGACGCUGAGGAGCGAAAGCAUGGGUAGCGAACAGG